rnacentral:rRNA from 1 species
CCUACGGGAGGCAGCAGUGGGGAAUAUUGCACAAUGGGGGGAACCCUGAUGCAGCAACGCCGCGUGAAGGAAGAAGGCUUUCGGGUUGUAAACUUCUAUCAAUAGGGACGAAAAGAAUGACGGUACCUAAAUAAGAAGCCCCGGCUAACUACGUGCCAGCAGCCGCGGUAAUACGUAGGGGGCAAGCGUUAUCCGGAAUUACUGGGUGUAAAGGGAGCGUAGGCGGCAUGGUAAGCCAGAUGUGAAAGCCCGCGGCUUAACCGCGCGGAUUGCAUUUGGAACUAUCAAGCUAGAGUACAGGAGAGGAAAGCGGAAUUCCUAGUGUAGCGGUGAAAUGCGUAGAUAUUAGGAAGAACACCAGUGGCGAAGGCGGCUUUCUGGACUGAAACUGACGCUGAGGCUCGAAAGCGUGGGGAGCAAACAGGAUUAGAUACCCCAGUAGUC